AACGAACGCUGGCGGCAUGCCUAACACAUGCAAGUCGAACGAAGCCUUCGGGCUUAGUGGCGCACGGGUGCGUAACGCGUGGGAAUCUGCCCUUGGGUUCGAAUAACAGUUAGAAAUGACUGCUAAUACCGAAUGAUGUCUUCGGACCAAAGAUUUAUCGCCCAAGGAUGAGCCCGCGUCGGAUUAGCUAGUUGGUGAGGUAAAGGCUCACCAAGGCGACGAUCCGUAGCUGGUCUGAGAGGAUGAUCAGCCACACUGGGACUGAGACACGGCCCAGACUCCUACGGGAGGCAGCAGUGGGGAAUAUUGGACAAUGGGCGAAAGCCUGAUCCAGCAAUGCCGCGUGAGUGAUGAAGGCCUUAGGGUUGUAAAGCUCUUUUACCCGGGAUGAUAAUGACAGUACCGGGAGAAUAAGCCCCGGCUAACUCCGUGCCAGCAGCCGCGGUAAU
rnacentral:rRNA from 1 species